UACGGGGGGGGGCAAGCGUUUGUUCGGAAUUACUGGGCGUAAAGGGCUCGUAGGCGGCCAACUAAGUCAGACGUGAAAUCCCUCGGCUUAACCGGGGAACUGCGUCUGAUACUGGAUGGCUUGAGUUUGGGGAGAGGGAUGCGGAAUUCCCGGUGUAGCGGUGAAAUGCGCAGAUAUCGGAGGAGACACCGGUGGCGAAAGCGGCGU
rnacentral:rRNA from 1 species